UCCGCCCUCAUGGAUUGGUGGUUGGUAUCAGCUGCUCCACCUUUUCUACCAUUUACUGAACGAGUUGAGGAAAAAGGGAAGGAGUCUCGUCUUUACAUCCUUAUUUUCUUUUUUUAUUGGUUGGCAACUAUGCCACUCACGUGGUGGAGAGGCGGGGCAAUAGUUGGAGAUGAUUGGUUCUGAGAAUUGGCUGUGAAAGCGGCAUUGCUGACCAGUGAGAGAGACCUAAUGAGAGAGGAGCAGGCCGGGGCAACCAAUGAAAUCGGAGAAGAGCGCUUGGGGGCGUGUCCGCCUGCUUUCAGCCUUUGGCAAGUUGGUGGGAGCUAAAAUCAGUCAUCUUCCUGCAAAGGCAUGAGGAGGAAAAGAGAGGCAGUAACUGAGCGAUAAUAUGCUGUAUGAGCCUCCUGCUCUGCUGCCCAUUACCUGCGUCACCUCCACAAGCUACUGAACCUCAAGGAACCCAUCUCCUCAUCAGGAAAAAAAAUAAGCUUUAUGUAG